GCCACAGCCCAAGCACAUGGAUAAUGUUGAGCUGCUGAAGGAGGCGUUUCACACACUGGGACUAAUAAAUCUAACUUAAGUAUGAACAGAAGACCACCUAAUGGUUUAUUUGCAUGUGGUUUUGUAUCAAAAUCAUCACAGCAGACUGUCAUGCUUUCAGAGGCCUACCAUUACUUCCUGCAUGAAUCAUUUACGUAGGAGUGGUUCUAGGAUACAGGCUAUAGUUUUCUAACUAUCAGCAUUUUUGAAUUUGUUCAAACUGAUUACUUUAUUUUUGGGCUUGCAUCCAGCUGGCCUGCUGAAGACAUAAUUUACUUAGCCUCCAAGUUUGGAAGGUUAUUUUCAAAAAGUCACAGUUUGCUGACUAAAAUAUUUUAAUGGAUAAAUGUCUGACGUGUGGAAAAGCUGAAUUACUUUCCUUCUCACUUUAACAACUUUUCCUUUACUAGUAGGCUAUGUUAAAAAAAUUUGGCAACAUAUUUCUGUUUUCAUUGUCUUUGCUUCUUUAUAGAGUAUAAAGAUGAAGUCUAUCCAGACGAUAUGAUAACAGCAUGAAACGUGUUGGACUAGAUUUCUUUUUUGACAAACCUGGGAGCAAGUCAUUGCAAUCGUAUGAAACUUCAGCAGCUGAGCAGUUGAAGUCCUAAGGAUGAGCUCCAGUCUUCUCUUCAUUCUCGCAACGGAGGUUGGAUUUGGUCGAUUCCAGAUUGUGCUAUCAGAGAAACUGACUCUCUGUACAGUCAUGGGCAACGUGAAGGCCUACAUUGCGUAAUGUUCCUGUGCUUCAAAUUGGAACAUCUUACGCUUGUGUGACCUUCUGCCCUUUGUCAGUUAGACACAGCAACGACAAAGUAAGGUACAUGACCUUCCUGAAAGAGACUCUGCCUCCAAACAUUCUUUCUAAACUUUAUAAAGCAGUUGAGUAGAAUGUGAGCUAUUCAUGGAAAAAUAUACAGAGGAAACGGUAUGAACUGUCCUAGCCAUAGAGUUAUUAAGACUGAGGAAGUAAAUUUUUAGUUUUUUAACUGCAAAAGUGGGAUUUCUGACAGGCUAAAGAGGAAUGCCUCACAGAAAGCAAAGCCAGCUGCUAAGAAGUCAACUGAGGGUAUGAUUAUGUAUUUCCAUAAUUUACUGGAUUGGUCUCUUGAUGCAUUUGUAGAAUAAAAAUAAAAUCAUAUUUGGUCUCACCAGACGUAUAAAAACAUCACAAGCCUAUAUAAACAUAAAAACAUCAUUAUAAUAUCAAUGCACACUCGCACGCACUCCUCACAUCACAUUACUACAGUUAAUACCACAUACACAGUGUACAAUAUACUUUCUAUACAGAACAUUUGUGCAGUUUGUUAAGUUUAGUGCACUAUGUAUAAAAGAUCACUUAUAGAUCUUUUUGUUUGCCAGAGGUACUCUGUAUUGUCGCUGCUUAAACUAAGUAUGGAGGGGGUGUUUUGUGUCACCAAUGAUGGACCAAGCUUUCCUAUGUAGAGCUGUACUGUAAAUGUCAUCUAGUGACUUUGUUGCUGGCCAAUUAUCUUUCCUGCUGUUUUGACAAUCCUGGCCAGCUUGGUUAGAUAUAAGUGUUAGAUAUCCAAACCAGACAGAUAUAUUUGACACUGGAAUACUCUCUAUCUGUAUUGACUAUAUGCCUUGCAAUCCCGGGAUAACAAUUGUCAGAUUAAUAAACUUGUAAACAUU